rnacentral:piRNA from 1 species
UGAUAGUGAUGAAUCCUAAGUUAUGUG